rnacentral:rRNA from 1 species
UACGUAGGCAGCAAGCGUUGUUCGGAAUUACUGGGCGUAAAGAGUGUGUAGGCGGUGCUCCAAGUCUGGUGUGAAAUCUCCCGGCUUAACUGGGAGGGUGCAUUAGAAACUGGAAUGCUAGAGGAUGGGAGAGGUAAGCGGAAUUCCUGGUGUAGCGGUGAAAUGCGUAGAUAUCGAGAGGAACACCAGUGGCGAAGGCGAGUCCCUGGACACUUCCUGACACUGAGGCACGAAAGCUAGGGGAGCAAACAGG